rnacentral:tRNA from 1 species
CAAAGCAUAGCUUAACUAAAGCACCUUGCUUACACCAAGAAAAUAUUUGUGAAACCCAAGUUACUUUGA